GUGGGGAAUCUUAGACAAUGGGGGAAACCCUGAUCUAGCCAUGCCGCGUGAGCGAUGAAGGCCUUAGGGUUGUAAAGCUCUUUCAGCUGGGAAGAUAAUGACGGUACCAGCAGAAGAAGCCCCGGCUAACUCCGUGCCAGCAGCCGCGGUAAUACGGAGGGGGCUAGCGUUGUUCGGAAUUACUGGGCGUAAAGCGCGCGUAGGCGGACCAGAAAGUUGGAGGUGAAAUCCCAGGGAUCAACCUUGGAACUGCCUUCAAAACUCCUGGUCUGGAGGUCGAGAGAGGUGAGUGGAAUUCCGAGUGUAGAGGUGAAAUUCGUAGAUAUUCGGAGGAACACCAGUGGCGAAGGCGGCUCACUGGCUGGAUACUGACGCUGAGGUGCGAAAGCGUGGGGAGCAAACAGGAUUAGAAACCCUUGUAGUCC
rnacentral:rRNA from 1 species